GUCUGUGUCCAUACCACCCUGAAUGUGCCUGAUCUCAUCUGAUCUCAGAAGCUAGACAGGGUCGAGCCUGGUUAGUACUUGGAUGGGAGAAAGGUAAUGUCUUAGUUU
rnacentral:rRNA from 1 species